GGACCACUUGCCUCAGUAAAAAGCAGCGUCCUCCGUUGGUUAGCGCAUGGUGCUAAUGAUGCCAAGGUCAUGGGUUCAAUCCCCUUAUGGUCCA